ensembl:lncRNA
UUACAUCGUUACAUCAUCGUCAUAAAGACUUAUUUCACACACUUCAAAUACAAUUUUUAAACUCAAAAAGAAAACUGAACUUAUUAAAAAAGAAACAGAUUUAUUUUUAACACUGCAACUCUAAACCCUCUGGCCCGAUCCCUGGUCUAGUCCCUGGUCCUGGUCUAGUCCCUUGUUCUGGUCUAGUCCCUGGUCCUAUCCCUGGUCUAGUCCCUGGUCCUGGUCUAGUCCCUGGUCCUGGUCCUGUCCCUGCUCCUGGUCUAGUCCCUGGUCUAGUCCCUGGUCCUGGUCUAGUCCCUGCUCCUGGUCUAGUCCCUGGUCUCUCUU